AGUGAACGCUGGCGGUAGGCCUAACACAUGCAAGUCGAACGGCAGCAGAGUAAAACUUGGUUCUUUGCGGACGCGAGGGGGGGAGGGGUGAGGUAUACGGGAGAAUCUAUUUUUUCGGGGGGGAACUCGUGGGGAAAGUUACUCAUAUCGCAUAACGGACCAACAGCAAAAAGGAGGAGCUUUUGGCACCUUGCCCGCGUGAAUGCGCCGAUGUGGGAUUCGCUAGUGGGGGGGGUAACGGCCCACCUAGGCGACGAUCCGUAGCUGGUCUGAGAGGAUGACCAGCCACACUGGAACUGAGACACGGUCCAGACUCCUACGGGAGGCAGCAGUGGGGAAUAUUGGACAAUGGGCGCAAGCCUGAUGCAGCCAUGCCGCGUGGAUGAAGAAGGCCUUCGGGUUGUAAAGUCCUUUUGUUGGGAAAGAAAAGCAGCAGGUUAAUACCUCGCUGUAUUGACGGUACCCAAAGAAUAAGCACCGGCUAACUUCGUG
rnacentral:rRNA from 1 species